AAGUCGUAACAAGGUUUCCGUAGGUGAACCUGCGGAAGGAUCAUUAGCGAAGUUCGGAAUGCAUGUUCGAUGUUGAUGCUGCCCAGCAAUGGGAUGUGCUCGCUCGGAUGUGUGUCCCUUCUCUAUCCACCCCAUUGUGAACCAAGCGUGUGAGCCGAAGAGAAAUCGGACGCUCGCAUGCAAACCUUUAACAUACCCCAAUAAAGUAUCAGAAUGUACCUUGCGUUAACUCGCACAAAUAUAACUUUCAACAACGGAUCUCUUGGCUCUC
rnacentral:misc_RNA from 1 species